AGUGAACGCUGGCGGUAGGCCUAACACAUGCCAGUCGAACGGCAGCACAGUAAGAGCUUGCUCUUACGGGUGGCGAGUGGCGGACGGGUGGGGAAUACAUCGGAAUCUACUUUUUCGUGGGGGAUAACGUAGGGAAACUUACGCCAAUACCGCAUACGACCUACGGGUGAAAGCAGGGGAUCUUCGGACCUUGCGCGAUUGAAUGAGCCGAUGUCGGAUUAGCUAGUUGGCGGGGUAAAGGCCCACCAAGGCGACGAUCCGUAGCUGGUCUGAGAGGAUGAUCAGCCACACUGGAACUGAGACACGGUCCAGACUCCUACGGGAGGCAGCAGUGGGGAAUAUUGGACAAUGGGCGCAAGCCUGAUCCAGCCAUACCGCGUGGGUGAAGAAGGCCUUCGGGUUGUAAAGCCCUUUUGUUGGGAAAGAAAAGCAGCAGGUUAAUACCCCGCUGUUCUGACGGUACCCAAAGAAUAAGCACCGGCUAACUUCGUG
rnacentral:rRNA from 1 species